rnacentral:rRNA from 1 species
CCUACGGGAGGCAGCAGUAGGGAAUAUUGCUCAAUGGGGGAAACCCUGAAGCAGCAACGCCGCGUGGAGGAUGAAGGUUUUCGGAUUGUAACCUCCUUUUGUUAGAGAAGAUAAUGACGGUAUCUAACGAAUAAGCACCGGCUAACUCCGUGCCAGCAGCCGCGGUAAUACGGAGGGUGCAAGCGUUACUCGGAAUCACUGGUCGUAAAGCGCGCGUAGGCGGGAUAGCAAGUCAGAUGUGAAAUCCUAUGGCUUAACCAUAGAACGGCAUUUGAAACUGUUAUUCUAGAGUAUGGGAGAGGUAGGUGGAAUUCUUGGUGGAGGGGGAAAAUCCGUAGAGAUCAAGAGGAAUACUCAUUGCGAAGGCGACCUGCUAGAACAUAACUGACGCUGAUGCGCGAAAGCGUGGGGAGCAAACAGGAUUAGAUACCCGGGUAGUC